UACGUAGGGGGCAAGCGUUGUCCGGAAUUACUGGGCGUAAAGGGUGCGUAGGCGGUUGCCUAAGUCAGAUGUGAAAUCCCCGGGCUUAACUCGGGUGUUGCAUUUGAAACUGGGUGGCUAGAGUGCAGGAGAGGGAAGCGGAAUUCCUAGUGUAGCGGUGAAAUGCGUAGAUAUUAGGAGGAACACCAGUGGCGAAGGCGGCUUUCUGGACUGUAACUGACGCUGAUGCACGAAAGCGUGGGGAG
rnacentral:rRNA from 1 species